rnacentral:rRNA from 1 species
AAUGAACGCUGGCGGCGCGCCUAAUACAUGCAAGUCGAGCGAGAAGACGUAGCAAUACGUUUGUAAAGCGGCGAACGGGUGAGGAAUACAUGGGUAACCUACCCUCGAGUGGGGAAGUAACUAGCCGAAAGGUUAGCUAAUACCGCGUACGCUUCUUGGACUUCGGUUCAGGGAGGAAAGCGAUGCCGAGGGUAUCGCGCUCUUGGAUGGGCUCAUGUCCUAUCAGCUUGNGGUGAGGUAACGGCUCACCAAGGCUUCGACGGGUAGCUGGUCUGAGAGGACGAUCAGCCACACUGGCACUGCGACACGGGCCAGACUCCUACGGGAGGCAGCAGUAAGGAAUAUUGCGCAAUGGGCGAAAGCCUGACGCAGCGACGCCGCGGUGGGGGAGUGAA